rnacentral:lncRNA from 1 species
UUGAAUUGUAGAAUAUCCGUCGCUGUUGCUUGCUUCGACUUCCACCUGAGGACAGAGGACCUCGGUUUCCGCCUUCCAAUUCACGUAUGACUCUAUCUCUCUCUCUCUGUGCUGACUGCCAUGCUAUAUUAUAUACACACUUCAUGCCUCAAAAGUCAAAGUUAAUUUUAUCUCUUUCUAGCAUCAAUCUAUGAAAUGUGGUAUGGAAUUUGAGUUACAAAACUUAUUUAGUUAUUCUCCAAUUCAUUUUAUGUAUCAAUUAGAAAUGCAAUUUGUUUUGUUUUCUUCUAUUUUACAAAUUCUCCAAUUCAUUAUAUGUAUUACUUAAUUUCUUGCUAAAUUUUGAAAUUUGAUUUUAGGGCCUAAACUAAAAUUUACGGUUUUUCUGUUUUUCAUCCAAAGUUUGAUUCUUUAUGUUAGUUGACUUUUCAAUCUUAUGUUUUCAUACUAUCAUUCUAUUUUCUUUUUCUUAUCAACACAUUGUAAUGCUAUACUCUAAUUGAUGGUGACUUCAUACGGGGCCCUCCCUAUGGCCUAGUAAUCUUUCUCAACUCGAAUCUUAGGUUCGGUGUCUUUCAUCAUUGAUUGAACAUCUGCGCUAAUAUGUUAAAAAAGAAAAAGAAAUAGGGAGCUAAUGGCUUGAAUGGAACAAUAACAAUGGAUUAGUAAGCCUACAGAGCGGACAAAGAUCAGAGCAUGUUCCAAUAUAAAGAUUCGUGCUGUCAAGUUUGUAGUUUUUCUUGCAUCUCUUUGAACAUGAGGAUUCCCGCCAUCAAGUUUGUAAAUUUCUUACCUUCCUCCAAGGCUCAAUCAUAAUAGAUGUAUUCCUCACCCCCUCAAUCCAACCCAACCCAAUCCACCCACCACCCACAUUGGGUCUAGAUCUAGGUCAAGGUUCUAAAUUUUAAUGGUGUUUUAAUUAAAUGAAAGAAUGAUACCAACAUUUACCUUGAAUUUGAUUGUGCUUUUAAGAGUUUCUCUUCUUUGUCAUAGUUAUUUUUCUCAACGUAAAAUUGAAAUUUCAAAUUCUAAUGGUUUAACUUGUGAACUAAAAUACUAAGAUAAAAUCUCAAAUCAUCUAUUUUCACAAAAUCCAUCUUAUUUUCAUUCAAUUGCUACAAGUCAACAAUUUCAUAAGCCUAAUCUUAUGCUUUUCCACAAACAUACAUUCUACUUCAUUUUAGUCUACACAAAAAUUACCAUUAGGAGCUCAAAAUAAGGCCGGCCCUUAGAAUUUUAAGGCUCAAGGCUACAAAAUAUGAUGAGGCUCCUAAAUAUAAUUUGUUUUUACAAAUGUAGCAGUCUUUUUAACAUCAUGUUGAAUCAACAAACUGUUCUCCUGAUGAGGAACGUUAUACUAUGACAUUCAAUCACUAUUCAAUUCGUCUGAGAAUCAAUUUUUGUAUUCAAGAAAUAUAACUAAAUCCUUUUUAAAUCCAAUGAGGUAAGUGGUAACUACGAUUUAUUGCUUAAAAUUUUCUAUACUUAAAAAUAAUAAUAAUAAUAAUAAUAAUAAUAAUAAAAUAAAAUCAAAGGCAGCAAUGAAAUCUAUAGAACAAAAUUUAAUGUUGAAUAAUUAAAAAUACAAUCAUAAUUGGGUAUUGGGACAACCUUUUUCUUCAUUUGCAAUACUACAUCUUCAAAAAAGUAUUUAAUGCAAGAAAAUUCUAUAAAUUUUCUGUACAUAAAACAGUCAUUUUGACUUCUUUUUUUAUUUUAAUUAAUUAGGGAAAAUUGUAGCAAAGUACCAAACCUUUCGUUUAUUAGCAAACUUAACUCAAACCUUUCGUUUAAACCACCGAAGGUAUCAAACCUUUAAAAUAUUCACAGAUCCAAUCCAAAAUGAUGGUUUCCAUCUAUUUGACCAUCAAAACCACUAGUUCACCCCAAUAAUGAAAAAAAAAAUUAAUUUCCUCUAAAUAAGUGAAGGAUAAUUUUGACAUUUAAUCCUGUUUGAAGGACAUUUUUAACUCCUAAAAAUGAAAAAAAUGGAUCGUUAGAAGCACUUUUCAACUACCAUUUUUGACUGAAUGUAGAUGUGGGACCUAAAUUUGAAAAAAAGGGUCCAAAAAUUUCUACUCUCCCCCCUAAAAAUAUGGCUCAAACAGUUAAUAAGUCCCAAGUCCAUCUUCUUCAACAAUCCCCCAACCCCCAACCCCCCCAAAUCAUAUCAGAAGAUUCAUCCCUACCCCUAACCUCACAAAAUCAGAUCAGAAGAUUCACCGUCAACUACCAUCGACCACGAUACAAUUCCUCCGACGGUGGUUGUUGUAUAUGUGUGUGUGUGUAAAGGUGCAAUUCCACCCGCAUGCAAUUUCUCAGCUUCCUCAUUUUUCACCUUUUCUACAAAAAUCACAUCUUCAUAGUUCUUAUUGUUGGCAACGAUGGUUAGCAAUUCCUUAAAAAUGAAAGAUGUGUGGCGAGGGUUUCACUUGGAGCAUAUUGUAAAAGGAUAUUAAUGUGUCAUUGGAAUUAAUUUGUCAGGAUAAUUUACCAUUUGUGUUUGAAUUUUUGAAGAGGGUUGCGGUUCAAAUUAAGUUGGGUGUUUGGAUUUUAUUGGGUGUAUACAUAUCAAUGAAAGCUUACCUCUCCAAGAAGUUCUUGAAUCCAUUUCUAAUGUAUUGUGUGCUGGUCGGCGGUAUUUUAGUGGGCAUAUAAGUAUAUUGUGGGUUGGAGAGGGUUGUUAUUCCCUAUUUCUUUAACUUGAUUUAAUUUACAGAUUAUCAAUCUUCCUUCGCGGUUGUACCGGUGGCCUUGCCGGUGUUGGAUAGCAGUGGUGGUUGUUAGAUUUUGGCGGGUGUGGGGGUGAAGAUGACAACCUUUUUUCCCCUUUUCUAUUUCAUUUUUUUAUUAUUUUAGGUUUUAGAAUUGUAUAGUUACUAUUUUGCCCUUAUUAUAUUUGAUUAAAUUCUACUAGUUUGGUCAACUAACUGUCAAAUUAACGAUUUUCAUCCAUUUGGACUGGAUCUGCAAAUAUUUUAAUGGUUUGGUACCUCUGCUCGCACAAC